UGAGUAACCUGCCCUUAACUCUGGGAUAAGCCUGGGAAACUGGGUCUAAUACCGGAUAUGACUCCUCAUCGCAUGGUGGGGGGUGGAAAGCUUUAGUGCGGUUUUGGAUGGACUCGCGGCCUAUCAGCUUGUUGGUGAGGUAAUGGCUCACCAAGGCGACGACGGGUAGCCGGCCUGAGAGGGUGACCGGCCACACUGGGACUGAGACACGGCCCAGACUCCUACGGGAGGCAG
rnacentral:rRNA from 1 species